UACAGAGGUCCCGAGCGUUGUUCGGAUUCACUGGGCGUAAAGGGUGCGUAGGUGGCAGGGUAAGUUUGAUGUGAAAUCUCCGGGCUUAACCCGGAAACUGCAUUGAAUACUAUCCUGCUUGAGGGUUGGAAGGGGGACUGGAAUUCUCGGUGUAGCAGUGAAAUGCGUAGAUAUCGAGAGGAACACCAGUGGCGAAGGCGAGUCCCUGGACAACACCUGACACUGAGGCACGAAAGCUAGGGGAGCAAACAGG
rnacentral:rRNA from 1 species